rnacentral:rRNA from 1 species
GAUGAACGCUGGCGGCGUGCCUAAUACAUGCAAGUCGAGCGAACAGACGAGGAGCUUGCUCCUCUGACGUUAGCGGCGGACGGGUGAGUAACACGUGGAUAACCUACCUAUAAGACUGGGAUAACUUCGGGAAACCGGAGCUAAUACCGGAUAAUAUAUUGAACCGCAUGGUUCAAUAGUGAAAGACGGUUUUGCUGUCACUUAUAGAUGGAUCCGCGCCGCAUUAGCUAGUUGGUAAGGUAACGGCUUACCAAGGCAACGAUGCGUAGCCGACCUGAGAGGGUGAUCAGCCACGCUGGAACUGAGACACGGUCCAGACUCCUACGGGAGGCAGCAGUAGGAAAUCUUCCGCAAUGGGCGAAAGCCUGACGGAGCAACGCCGCGUGAGUGAUGAAGGUCUUCGGAUCGUAAAACUCUGUUAUUAGGGAAGAACAAAUGUGUAAGUAACUAUGCACGUCUUGACGGUACCUAAUCAGAAAGCCACGGCUAACUACGUG